rnacentral:misc_RNA from 1 species
AACGCACCUUGCGCUCCUUGGUAUUCCGAGGAGCAUGCCUGUUUGAGUGUCUUGAAGUCAUCAACCCUCCUUGCUUUUUGGGCGGGGCAGGGCUUGGAGUUUGAGGGCUUUGCUGCCGAAGGGCGGCUCCCUCCAAAUGCUUCGGUUGGGCCUGCGGGUCGAACUCGACUGGGCGUUGUACCAUCCUCGCUCGACCGAGAUGUUCCCCUUUCUGCGCCGCGACCUCGACCGCCUGUGGAGCGGCGGUCAACAAGCAAUUUGAAAUCUGACCUCAAAUCAGGUAGGACUACCCGCUGAACUUAA